GAACUGGUGGUACACUGGGUAUUUUUUUCUUUGGUAGUACUUGUUCAAAAGUUUGUAUCUAUUUUCUCUUGAAGUGUCCAUGGACAGUGGAUCUCUGCUGAUGUCUGAGAUUGUGGAUAUUCCCGAUGACUCCUCCCCCUCAGAGGACUCUUGCCUCAUGGAGGUAGGCCUGAGGAGCCGUGGAGCGAGGUGCGGAAGGAGCACCAGUGAGGGGGACACAGGGGAGGGGAGCACCUACAUCAGCUUUCGUGGACCAUCCUCGCUAACGCCAGAGAGUCCACUGGCAGGAGGACCCAGAGCAAGAAGAUUCCUCAGAUCAGAGCGGUCCAACUCGUGCUCCUCCCCCAGCACAGCGACCAUCACAUAUAGGUCACCAGUAUUGCAUCGCCAGGCCUUGUUGACCAGUAGCUGCUCCCAGUUAGAAGCAAUGGGUGCUUCCAUCACCCAACAGCAGUCCUCUGUCCCAGAGAUCCUAGUCCGCCCCUCCACUCCCUCCUCUCAAGGACCUGGACAGACCUCCCCUCCUACAGCAUCUCCAGCGGACAGUAAACAGAACCAUAGUGAGGGGACGGCGCCCCCUCACCCGCCGCUGUAUUCGCGACACCAAGCUGGGAACGGUGAUGGAGAUGCAGGGGUCCCGAGACGAAAGGAGAAUGAGGGUUUCCUUGGACUUGUACGAUCGCACAGUGAACCAGGACUUGGGUCUUCCACAGAUACAGGUUGGCUUUGCAUGACUCAUGUAGAAAAGUCUGUCAUCCUAGUUUUUGUCUUAAUCGUUUUAUUACCUUCUUUAGUUGAUUUGGAUCUGGAAGCAGUAAGGAGGCCUAUCACACAUCAACAGACACAGCUCCAGGAUCUGAAGCAUGUCUCUUGCCACGGACCUCCCUGCCCCCUGCCACUGCUUUGCCGAGAAAAGGCAGCGUGA
rnacentral:lncRNA from 1 species